GAAAAUCACAAACGUGUCAUUUUUAACAAACAAAUUCGGACAGUGACAUAUCAUGAAAAUUUCAUGUUUUAAAAAGAUUGUAUACUAUAUGAAAUCAUAUAUGACAUAAACCACAUCGUAUGCAAUACUAGUAUAUUUUAACACCUCAUCAAAAUCAAUAUGGCAAAAAGAGCUUUACGUCAUUCAUUUGUUAACAGCUCUGUUAUUUAUGGUGGCAUUGUAAUUAUAGUAAUAGCUGCUGUGAUAGCGGGAUUUACUUGGUGGUUCAAACACAAACGUACUCAAGGAUAAUCCAACUAGAAUAACAAUGCACUUGAGUAUAUACCAGAUACCUACGUCUUUGAAACUCAAAUUAACCUGCUU